CAGCAGCCACGGUAAUACGUAGGUGGCAAGCGUUGUCCGGAAUUAUUGGGCGUAGAGGGCUCGCAGGCGGUUUCUUAAGUCUGAUGUGAAAGCCCCCGGCUCAACCGGGGAGGGUCAUUGGAAACUGGGAAACUUGAGUGCAGGAGAGGAGAGUGGAAUUCCACGUGUAGCGGUAAAAUGCGUAGAGAUGUGGAGGAACACCAGUGGCGAAGGCGACUCUCUGGUCUGUAACUGACGCUGAGGAGCGAAAGCGUGGGGAGCGAACAGGAUUAGAUACCCCAGUAGUCCCUGUCUCUUAUAC
rnacentral:rRNA from 1 species